GCGUCGGUAGUGCAACGCUUCAGCACGCGCCCUGGAUAGGGUGAACUCUGUGUUCAAAUCCCAGCUGGCGCA